rnacentral:misc_RNA from 1 species
GAUGAAGAACGUAGCGAAAUGCGAUAAGUAAUGUGAAUUGCAGAAUUCAGUGAAUCAUCGAAUCUUUGAACGCACAUUGCGCCCAUUAGUAUUCUAGUGGGCAUGCCUGUUCGAGCGUCAUUAAGUCCACUUAAGCCCUGCUUAGUGUUGGGAGACUGCUCCAGCGGUGCUACCCUGUAGCUACCCUGCAGCUCCUCAAAGACAGCGGCGGAGUUGUGGUAUCCUCUGAGCUUAGUAACUUGUUCUAGCUUUCGAGUACACCGCUUCCCCUGCCGUAAAACCCUUAAUUUUUAAUGGUUGACCUCGGAUCAGGUAGGAAUACCCGCUGAACUUAAGCAUAUCAAUAAGCGGAGGA